rnacentral:tRNA from 1 species
UCCGGUAUAGUCCAGAGGCUAGGAUAUUCCGCUUUCAACCGAUCACUUCGAUUGAAGCACCGGAAAGACCCGGGUUCGAUUCCCGGUACCGGAA